rnacentral:rRNA from 1 species
UACGUAGGGACCAAGCGUUGUUCGGAUUUACUGGGCGUAAAGGGCGCGUAGGCGGCAAUUCAAGUCAGUUGUGAAAUCUCCGAGCUUAACUCGGAACGGUCAACUGAUACUGCUUUGCUAGAGUACAGAAGGGGCAAUCGGAAUUCUUGGUGUAGCGGUGAAAUGCGUAGAGAUCCGGAGGAACACCAAAGGCGAAGGCAGUGUCCUGGGGAGUACCUGACGCUCAGGUGCGAAAGCCAGGGGAGCGAACGGG